AGCUAUCCUCCUCCACAGGAGAUCGCGGCUACUGAGGAAGCGCAGGCGGCGGCAGACCUGGGCCAAGCGGCCUAAGGCCUGCGCGUCCAGGAGCCUGGAGUACUGACAACACUGAAGGAUUCUGGUCCAAAAUGGAAAAGUAACCCACCAGUCAGUGGAGAAGGAAAAUAUGAGUCUAAUGCUGUGCUAUUCUUCCUAUAGCACUUUCCAUUCUACAGAUGCCUGAAAUGCUUGGAGAAAACUCUCCUUUCAAUUUAAAAAAUAGAUAAAUUAUAAGAAGUUCAUCAUCUGCCUAGAAUGCUUUGAACAGGUAUCACUUACCCACCACAGUCUACAUGUCCUUUUGCACAGUGGAGUAGGAAAAUAUUUUAGCUUAUAAUGAGGUUACCAUAGCAUAGAGCUUUUUUACAUCCUGUUCUGGAAGGUCAUCUUGUCAGUGUAAUCUCAAGCACUCAAAUAUUCAUAUAACUAAAUCACCAAGUCUGUCUGGUCCAUUUACAGUCUCUAAGUCAAGAAAGUCCCAGAAGGCAGUGAAUGUUUUGUCAGCCUUUGUAAUGAAUGAAUCAGGUGGCCCAACUAAUUAAAAAUUUCUCAAAUCUACAUUUGAGUUGAGGAGAAAUAACACACAUAAGUAGCCAGUUGAAAGUGAGGCAGUAUAACAAAUUUUGGUCAACGUGAAAGAUGGAAACCUGGUGUGAGUGCAGUGUUAGAUCAGCUUAAUAUCUUUUGGAAUACAUUAAACUUAGCUCUUUUGUAAUAGACUUCAGCAAUGUCUGAAGCUUUUUUUUUUCUAAUUGAAUGACUUCUCCAUCUUAAACUGUUCUUUAAAGCCUAAUUUAUUAUCAAGUUGGUCUUUCUUUAGUAAGAUCCUAUGGAGACAGCUUGUGGACUCUACGCUCUUGCAUGUUUUAGUAGCUACCUGAACAAUAUUCCAAAGUCACUAUUAGCAAAGCUUUUUGGAAGGCACAGAGUGUGGGGCAAGAGACGAAGAAUGCUUAUGGCUGCAUAGCUCUGUGUUAAGUCUAGGCAUAAUCAGAUUGUACGUAUUUCAGUCAAGCCAAAUGUAAAGUCACACAUCUAGAAACAAAGAAUGUAGGUCAUACUGAGGGGAUGCAACUACUCUGCAAAGCUGCAAUUCCAUAAAGACUUUAUUAAGAUGAAUAAUCAGCUGAAGGUGAGUUCCUUCUGCAGUUCUGUGACCAAAGGGCCAGUGCUCUCUUGGGAAACAAACAAAAGCCAGGAGAUUCUUUUGGUUUUGACUUUGUUGUGACUGCUUUGGAAACAAUUUGUCCAAGCCAACAUUUCAAGAAGGAUGUUAAAAAACCAGAGGAGCUUCAAGGAAGAGUGGUAAGAAUAAUUACAGGACUGUCAAACGUGUUUUAUAGUUAGACCCAAAGUGCUCAGUUUGUUUAGCUUUCUUAAGAGGUUAAGGUAUGAGGUGAUCAUACCUUAUGAGCACUGAGACAGGAAGGUAAAUCUGGUAACACCAGGAUCUUCUGUUUAGCAGACAAAGAGAUAGGAUCUCUUGACAGAAGGUGAUGGGAAACAAAUUCAUAAAUAAAACAUGCUUUUGUAGUGAAGAAAAUUAACUGUUGAAACAGUUUACCAGGAUUUAUGGUAGAUUUAUCAUUAUGGGUUGUUUAAAAAAUAAAAAAAAUAAUACCAAUUGUUUCUUUCUCCCUUGGAGAGAGAGUGUGGCUAGACCACAGCUAUUAAACUUAAACCAGGAAUUCACCUGGUGACUCAGGAUAUCAGACUGUCAAAGAGGUCCUUUCUGUCUCUCUUACUCUAUGGAGGCAAUGCCUGCACAGGGCACAUCUCCCUGCCCAGUGUAACACCCACAUUCCAGUGUAUGACAGUCUCAAUCUGUGGCCGUGCCACUUUGCCAAGGAAGCUACUUACAGAAUCGUAAAGGUUGGAAAAGGCCUCUCUCAUCAAGUCCAACCAUCAACUCCACCACACCUAGUAAACCCUGUCAGAAAGCGCCACGUUUUGGUACAGUACUUAUAAUUGGUAUGUCCUUUCAGAAAGAUCCUGGGUCUAACACAUGCAGUGUGACCCUCUGGGAUACCAGGACCAAGAUAUGGCCAAAUGCCUCUGUAGAAGUACUCUCCAGUUUGUGACUCAAGAUACAACCAACCAUGAAAUACUUGGCUGAGAUGAAAUGCAUGUUUGCAUGCAGGAGUCAUGGGGAAGAUCAAACAUGCACCAGAUAGGGUACAUACAGUACUAUAAAUAUUUUUUUGCUCAAAACACAGAUACCAUUAAUUAUUUUCUUUGGGUUACUUAAGAGGGAGGGUUUGCAACUGCAUGCAACUUGUUCUCAGGCAUGGUUUCAGCUACUGUGACUCCUGUGGAGGUGGCAAAGCUGUGCACCACAGGCUAAGAACUCAAUGGAAUUAGUCUUCCCAGGAGUGCCAAAUUAAGUGUGUCUGUGUAGGUAUCUGCAGGAGCAAGAACCAAAGAUUCUGAACCACUACUGAAACUGUAGCAUGAUUAUUUCCAUUAUAAUUGUUCAUACUGUAAUAAAGGACUGAGAGCAGUAUAAUCGUAAAGCAAAUAAUGUAUCCUUCCCAAAUUUUAAGGUUAAAGAUCCCAGUCCUUUCAUGGCCCACAACCACUCUGAACCUCUAGAAAUGAGGUAGAGUUCUGUGCUAAGUAGAAAAAUAUUCCCAGCAUCAUUGUUUGCAGGGUUUGUAAGCUAAAAUCGGGAGGCUUAUACCUGUAAGCUUGAGCUUUAACAGUGUGAGUCAAUAAAAUCCAGCCUGGAAGAAACAUCAA